rnacentral:rRNA from 1 species
AAUAGAUACCCCGGUAGUCCACGCCGUAAACGAUGGGUACUAGGUGUAGGGGGUAUCGACUCCCCCUGUGCCGCCGUUAACACAAUAAGUACCCCGCCUGGGGAGUACGGUCGCAAGAUUAAAACUCAAAGGAAUUGACGGGGGCCCGCACAAGCAGCGGAGCAUGUGGUUUAAUUCGAAGCAACGCGAAGAACCUUACCUAGACUUGACAUCUCCUGCAUUACUCUUAAUCGAGGAAGUUCUCCCUUCGGGGAGGACAGGAAGACAGGUGGUGCAUGGUUGUCGUCAGCUCGUGUCGUGAGAUGUUGGGUUAAGUCCCGCAACGAGCGCAACCCUUAUUGUUAGUUGCUACCAUUUAGUUGAGCACUCUAGCAAGACUGCCGUGGUUAACGCGGAGGAAGGUGGGGAUGACGUCAAAUCAUCAUGCCCCUUAUGUCUAGGGCUACACACGUGCUACAAUGGCGAGUACAAAGAGACGCAAAAGCCGCGAGGUGGAGCAAAACUUAUAAAACUACGUCUCAGUUCGGAUUGCAGGCUGAAACUCG